CCGACGCAAGUGUGAAACUCAAAAUGAAAUUGACGGGGGCCCCGGCGACCAAAGCGGUGGAGCAUGUGGUUUAAUUCGAUGCAACGCGAAGAACCUUACCUGGUCUUGACAUAUCUAGAAAUCCUGCAGAGAUGCGGGAGUGCCUUCGGGAAUUAGAAUACAGGUGCUGCAUGGCUGUCGUCAGCUCGUGUCGUGAGAUGUUGGGUUAAGUCCCGCAACGAGCGCAACCCUUGUCCUUAGUUACCAGCGGGUUAAGCCGGGAACGUCUAAGGAUACUGCCAGUGACAAACUGGAGGAAGGCGGGGACGACGUCAAGUCAUCAUGGCCCUUACGACCAGGGCUACACACGUGCUACAAUGGUAGGUACAGAGGGCAGCUACACAGCGAUGUGAUGCGAAUCUCAAAAAGCCUAUCGUAGUCCAGAUUGGAGUCUGCAACUCGACUCCAUGAAGUAGGAAUCGCUAGUAAUCGCGGAUCAGAAUGCCGCGGUGAAUACGUUCCCCGGGCCUGUCGACGCGGCCG
rnacentral:rRNA from 1 species